rnacentral:rRNA from 1 species
CCUACGGGGGACAGCAGUGAGGAAUAGUGGUCAAUGGGCGCGAGCCUGAACCAGCCAAGUAGCGUGAAGGAUGACUGCCCUACGGGGUGUAAACUUCUUUUAUAAAGGAAUAAAGUGAGGCACGUGUGCCUUUUUGUAUGUACGUUAUGAAUAAGGAUCGGCUAACGCCGUGCCAGCAGCCGCGGUAAUACGGAGGAUCCGAGCGUUAUCCGGAUUGAUUGGGGUUCAAGGGAGCGUAGAUGGGUUGUUAAGUCAGUUGGGAAAGUUUGCGGCUCCACCGUAAAAUUGCAAUUGAUACUGGCAGCCUUUCUUACAGUUGAGGUAGUCGGCCUUCGUUGUGUAGCGGU